AUGCUGGAUUGUCUGAGUCUUCUAAAGUUUAAUAGGAGCACGAGUCAUGCAACCCUGUGUGUGUCACGGUGGUUUUUAGAAAGGCACAAAAAGAUGACACUCAAGAUUUUUCUUAAAACCGAACUUUUUUCUCAGCCACAUGGAACACUUGUCUUCAGUGAUGGGAGAUGCCUAGGGCAACGUGUGUGUCUGGAGGGGCUGGACUGCUCCUGAGGCCGGCCCACCACUUCUUGGAUUUCAGAGCAGGAGUGGCAGGGAAGCGAGGGAGGACCGAGGCCCAAUCUCAGGACUCGUAAGAGCAGUGAUUGAGAGCGGGCACUCUAUUCCGACAAGUACCACAUUCAAAGUCCUUCUAAAAAUGGAUGAAGGUGAUGCUUCUUUGUAGAGACAGUGCUGUAUCCUGACCGCUCUGCACAAUAUCUGUCACAGAGUGGGAACUCAUCAAAUAAUUGUGG